CGGUGGAGCAUGUGGUUUAAUUCGAUGCAACGCGAAGAACCUUACCUACUCUUGACAUCCACGGAAUUCGGCAGAGAUGCCUUAGUGCCUUCGGGAACCGUGAGACAGGUGCUGCAUGGCUGUCGUCAGCUCGUGUUGUGAAAUGUUGGGUUAAGUCCCGCAACGAGCGCAACCCUUAUCCUUUGUUGCCAGCGAUUCGGUCGGGAACUCAAAGGAGACUGCCGGUGAUAAACCGGAGGAAGGUGGGGAUGACGUCAAGUCAUCAUGGCCCUUACGAGUAGGGCUACACACGUGCUACAAUGGCGCAUACAAAGAGAAGCGACCUCGCGAGAGCAAGCGGACCUCACAAAGUGCGUCGUAGUCCGGAUCGGAGUCUGCAACUCGACUCCGUGAAGUCGGAAUCGCUAGUAAUCGUGGAUCAGAAUGCCACGGUGAAUACGUUCCCGGGCCUUGUACACACCGCCCGUCACACCAUGGGAGUGGGUUGCAAAAGAAGUAGGUAGCUUAACCUUCGGGAGGGCGCUUACCACUUUGUGAUUCAUGACUGGGGUGAAGUCGUAACAAGGUAACCGUAGGGGAACCUGCGGUUGGAUCACCUCCUUACCUGAA
rnacentral:rRNA from 1 species